rnacentral:rRNA from 1 species
AGUGAACGCUGGCGGCAGGCCUAACACAUGCAAGUCGAACGAACUCUUCGGAGUUAGUGGCGGACGGGUGAGUAACACGUGGGAACGUGCCUUUAGGUUCGGAAUAACUCAGGGAAACUUGUGCUAAUACCGAAUGUGCCCUUCGAGGGAAAGAUUUAUCGCCUUUAGAGCGGCCCGCGUCUGAUUAGCUAGUUGGUGAGGUAAAGGCUCACCAAGGCGACGAUCAGUAGCUGGUCUGAGAGGAUGAUCAGCCACAUUGGGACUGAGACACGGCCCAAACUCCUACGGGAGGCAGCAGUGGGGAAUCUUGCGCAAUGGGCGAAAGCCUGACGCAGCCAUGCCGCGUGAAUGAUGAAGGUCUUAGGAUUGUAAAAUUCUUUCACCGGGGACGAUAAUGACGGUACCCGGAGAAGAAGCCCCGGCUAACUUCGUG